UACGGAGGGGGCUAGCGUUGUUCGGAAUUACUGGGCGUAAAGCGCACGUAGGCGGCUAUUUAAGUCAGAGGUGAAAGCCCGGGGCUCAACCCCGGAAUAGCCUUUGAGACUGGAUAGCUUGAAUCCAGGAGAGGUGAGUGGAAUUCCGAGUGUAGAGGUGAAAUUCGUAGAUAUUCGGAAGAACACCAGUGGCGAAGGCGGCUCACUGGACUGGUAUUGACGCUGAGGUGCGAAAGCGUGGGGAGCAAACAGG
rnacentral:rRNA from 1 species